GUUCCCUGAGAUGGUUCAAAUAAUCAUGCUAGUGUAUAUCUGAUUGUUUUAUGACUGAAAGAUUACUUUUCCUGAGGGAACU